AGUGAACGCUGGCGGUAGGCCUAACACAUGCAAGUCGAACGGCAGCACAGUAAGAGCUUGCUCUUACGGGUGGCGAGUGGCGGACGGGUGAGGAAUACAUCGGAAUCUACUUUUUCGUGGGGGAUAACGUAGGGAAACUUACGCUAAUACCGCAUACGACCUACGGGUGAAAGCAGGGGAUCUUCGGACCUUGCGCGAUUGAAUGAGCCGAUGUCGGAUUAGCUAGUUGGGGGGGUAAAGGCCCACCAAGGCGACGAUCCGUAGCUGGUGUGAGAGGAUGAUCGGCCACACUGGAACGGAGACACGGUCCAGACUCCUACGGGAGGCAGCAGUGGGGAAUAUUGGACAAUGGGCGCAAGCCUGAUCCAGCCAUACCGCGUGGGUGAAGAAGGCCUUCGGGUUGUAAAGCCCUUUUGUUGGGAAAGAAAAGCAGCAGGUUAAUACCCCGCUGUUCUGACGGUACCCAAAGAAUAAGCACCGGCUAACUUCGUG
rnacentral:rRNA from 1 species